rnacentral:rRNA from 1 species
AGAGUUUGAUCCUGGCUCAGGACGAACGCUGGCGGCGUGCUUAACACAUGCAAGUCGAACGGUGUACAUUUAGGAGCUUGCUUUUGGAUGUACAUAGUGGCGGACGGGUGAGUAACGCGUGAGGACGUGUCCUAUACAGGGGGACAACAGAUGGAAACGUCUGCUAAUACCCCAUAAGCCGAGAGGUAAAAGGAGCAAUCCGGUAUAAGAGCGACUCGCGUCCUAUCAGCUAGUAGGCGGGGCAACGGCCCACCUAGGCGAAGACGGGUAGCCGGACUGAGAGGUCGACCGGCCACACUGGAACUGAGACACGGUCCAGACUCCUACGGGAGGCAGCAGUGGGGAAUAUUGGGCAAUGGAGGCGACUCUGACCCAGCGACGCCGCGUGAGUGAAGAAAUCCCUCGGGAUGUAAAACUCUGUUGUACGGGAAGAUGAAAAAGACGGUACCGUACGAGGAAGCCCCGGCAAACUACGUGCCAGCAGCCGCGGUAAUACGUAGGGGGCGAGCGUUGUCCGGAAUUACUGGGCGUAAAGGGCGUGUAGGCGGCUCUAUAAGUCCGGAGUGAAAGUCCUGCUUUUAAGGUGGGAAUUGCUUUGGAGACUGUAGAGCUUGAGUGCGGAAGAGGUAAGUGGAAAUUCCCAGUGUAGCGGUGAAAUGCGUAGAGAUUGGGAGGAACACCAGUGGCGAAGGCGACUUACUGGGCCGUAACUGACGCUGAGGCGCGAAAGCGUGGGGAGCGAACAGGAUUAGAUACCCUGGUAGUCCACGCAAUAAACGAUGAAUGUUAGGUGUAGGGGGUAUCGACCCCUCCUGUGCCGGAGUAAACACAAUAAACAUUCCGCCUGGGGAGUACGGCCGCAAGGUUGAAACUCAAAGGAAUUGACGGGGGCCCGCACAAGCAGCGGAGCAUGUUGUUUAAUUCGAAGCAACGCGAAGAACCUUACCAGGUCUUGACAUCGAGGAAAAGCUACAGAGAUGUAGUGUGAGCUUGCUCAUCCGAAGACAGGUGGUGCAUGGUUGUCGUCAGCUCGUGUCGUGAGAUGUUGGGUUAAGUCCCGCAACGAGCGCAACCCUUAUGGUCAGUUACUAACGCGUAAUGGCGAGGACUCUGACAAGACUGCCGGGGACAACUCGGAGGAAGGUGGGGACGACGUCAAAUCAUCAUGCCCCUUAUGACCUGGGCUACAAACGUGCUACAAUGGUGGUUACAAAGAGCAGCGAGCCUGUGAAGGUAAGCGAAUCUCAAAAAAGCCAUCUCAGUUCGGACUGUGGGCUGCAACCCGCCCACACGAAGUUGGAGUUGCUAGUAAUCGCGGAUCAGAAUGCCGCGGUGAAUACGUUCCCGGGCCUUGCACUCACCGCCCGUCA